GGUCUGCAUCCUACCUCGGCCGGAUUCGUCGGCCGGUUACGUCACAGCGCCGCGACUCGGCCUGUCCCAUUUCGAAGACUCCUUCAAAUGCGGUCGACGAAUGCGGCCUUCUUUUCGCCUGAAUGAAGGAUGGGUCCGGUGUAUCCUUCAAUAGGUAGCAUUUCCCAAGAUGCCUUGCGGGCCGGCCGGCAGAAAAACUUAAAAACAAUGGCGGACAGUGAAGCGGGAGCUGUCGGAGAGGAUUGCGCAUAUAAAUGUAAGUAUAAACUUGAAAACUGUCAGUUUAAGGACUUUUUGUGAUACAUGAACGUUAUUUUAGUUAGAAAUGUUACAGUAAAAGUGCUUGUAUUGCGGUCUCGGCUCGUAUGUUCGGCCGCGCUCGGUGUCGUACUUCUCCCACUACGUUUCCCCCUGAUUUUAAUAGAAGUUUGUAUUUUAGGACCAAAAGAGAAAACCAGGGAAUUUAUUAAGCUUAGGGCGGAGAUGGACCACAUGAUCACCGGAGCAAAGUAUUCGGCGGCUGUGGCAUGGAGACUAUUCUGGAGAAAAUGGGCAUCCAGGGGAAGGUGCCAGCGAUGAGCUUCUGGAGCUGAUCUGGGAGGACAUGAGGCUGCAGAGCAGCAGAGAGCACAGGAGAGAAGGAAGAACUUUGACAGCUUUUUACUUUGCUAGAAAAAAAUGGUUAAUGAAGAUUAAACAUGUACAUAUAAAAGAAAUAUCUAAAUAAAAUCAGUUCUGCAUUAAA